rnacentral:tRNA from 1 species
UCCCUGGUGGCUCAGAUGGUAGAGAAUCUGUCUGUAAUACAGGUAGCCCAGGUUCAAUUCCUGGGUUGGGAA